AGCAGCCGCGGUAAUUCCAGCUCCAAUAGCGUAUAUUAAAGUUGUUGCAGUUAAAAAGCUCGUAGUUGAAUUUCGGGGUCAGUAGGUUGGUCGUGCCACAGGUACGUACUGGUCUCACUGAUUCCUCCUUCCUGAUGAACCGUAAUGCCAUUAAUUUGGUGUUGCGGGGAAACUGGACUGUUACUUUGAAAAAAUUAGAGUGUUUAAAGCAGGCUAACGCUUGAAUACAUUAGCAUGGAAUAAUGAAAUAGGACGUUCGAUCCUAUUUUGUUGGUUUCUAGGAUUGACGUAAUGAUUAAUAGGGAUAGUUGGGGGCAUUAGUAUUCAAUUGUCAGAGGUGAAAUUCUUGGAUUUAUUGAAGACUAACUACUGCGAAAGCAUUUGCCAAGGAUGUUUUCAUUAAUCAAGAACGAAAGUUAGGGGAUCGAAGACGAUCAGAUACCGUCGUAGCCUUAACCAUAAACUAUGCCGACUAGGGAUCGGAUGAUGUUAAUUUUUAAUGACUCAUUCGGCGCCUUAC
rnacentral:rRNA from 1 species